CCUACGGGUGGCAGCAGUGGGGGAUAUUGCACAAUGGGGGGAACCCUGAUGCAGCGACGCCGCGUGGGUGAAGAAGCGCCUCGGCUCGUAAAGCGCUGUUAGCAGGGAAGAAAAUGACGGUACCUGAAGAAAAAGCCCCGGCUAACUACGUGCCAGCAGCCGCGGUCAUACGUAGGGGGCGAGCGUUAUCCGGAUUUACUGGGUGUAAAGGGGGCGUAGGGGGAGAUGCAAGCCAGAGGUGAAAGUUUGGGGCCCAACCCCCGGACUGCUCUUGGAACUGGGUGGCUGGAGUGCAGGAGGGGCAGGCGGAAUGCCGGGUGUAGCGGUGAAAUGCGUAGAUAUCAGGAGGAACACCGAUGGCGAAGGCAGCCUGCUGGGCUGCAACUGACGUUGAGGCACGAAAGCGUGGGGAGCAAACAGGAUUAGAUACCCGAGUAGUC
rnacentral:rRNA from 1 species